rnacentral:rRNA from 1 species
AGCAGCCGCGGUAAUUCCAGCUCCAAUAGCGUAUAUUAAAGUUGUUGCAGUUAAAAAGCUCGUAGUUGAAUUUCGGGAUCAAUAUGUCGGUCGUGCCUCGGUACGUACUGGCAUCAUUGGUUUCUCCCUUCUGAUGAACCAUGAUGCCAUUAAUUUGGUGUUGUGGGGAAUCAGGACUGUUACUUUGAAAAAAUUAGAGUGUUUAAAGCAGGCUCACGCUUGAAUACAUUAGCAUGGAAUAAUGAAAUAGGACGUUUGAUUCUAUUUUGUUGGUUUCUAGGAUCGACGUAAUGAUUAAUAGGGAUAGUUGGGGGCAUUAGUAUUCAAUUGUCAGAGGUGAAAUUCUUGGAUUUAUUGAAGACUAACUACUGCGAAAGCAUUUGUCCAAGGAUGUUUUCAUUAAUCAAGAACGAAAGUUAGGGGAUCGAAGACGAUCAGAUACCGUCGUAGUCUUAACCAUAAACUAUGCCGACUAGGGAUCGGAUGAUGUAAUUUUUAAUGACUCAUUC